rnacentral:piRNA from 1 species
UCCCNGUGUAGAGCAAUGCCAGAGUGGGGA